CCUACGGGUGGCAGCAGUGGGGGAUAUUGCACAAUGGGGGAAACCCUGAUGCAGCGACGCCGCGUGGGCGAAGAAGUAUUUCGGUAUGUAAAGCCCUAUCAGCAGGGGAGAAGAAAUGACGGUACCUGCGUAAGAAGCACCGGCUAAAUACGUGCCAACAGCCGCGGUAAUACGGAUGGUGCAAGCGUUAUCCGGAUGUACUGGGGGUAAAGGGAGCGCAGGGGGCACGGGAAGCCUGAUGUGAAAGCCCGGGGCCCAACCGCGGGACUGCAGUGGGAACUACCGGGCUGGAGUGCCGGAGAGGUAGGCGGAAUUCGUAGUGUAGCGGUGAAAUGCGUAGAUAUUAGGCGGAACACCAGUGGCGAAGGCGGCCUACUGGACGGUGACUGACGCUGAGGCUCGAAAGCGUGGGGAGCGAACAGGAUUAGAUACCCCUGUAGUC
rnacentral:rRNA from 1 species